GAACGCACCUUGCGCUCCUUGGUAUUCCUUGGAGCAUGCCUGUUUGAGUAUCAUGAAAUAUUCAAAGUAAAAUCUUUUGUUAACUCGAUUGGUUUUGCUUUGGUCUUGGAGGUUUUUUGCAGGUUCACACCUGCUCCUCUUUGUGCAUUAGCUGGAUCUCAGUGUUAUGCUUGGUUCCACUCGGCGUGAUAAAUUAUCUAUCGCUGAGGACACUGUAAAAAGUGGCCAAGGUAAAUGCAGAUGAACCGCUUCCAAUAGUCCAUUUAUUUGGACAAUACAAUUUAUGAUCUGAUCUCAAAUCAGGUAGGACUACCCGCUGAACUUAAG
rnacentral:misc_RNA from 1 species